CCUACGGGAGGCAGCAGUGGGGAAUAUUGCGCAAUGGGCGAAAGCCUGACGCAGCGACGCCGCGUGAGGGAUGAAGGUCUUCGGAUCGUAAACCUCUGUCAGCAGGGAAGAACGGUCACUGUGCUAAUCAGCAGUGAAUUGACGGUACCUGCAAAGGAAGCACCGGCUAACUCCGUGCCAGCAGCCGCGGUAAUACGGAGGGUGCGAGCGUGAAUCGGAAUUACUGGGGGUAAAGCGGUCGUAGGCGGUAUGUCAAGUCAAGGGGGAAAUCCCCGCGCUCAACGUGGGAACUGCCUUUGAAACUGGCAAACUGGAGUGUGUGAGAGGAUAGUGGAAUGCCAGGUGUAGGAGUGAAAUCCGUAGAUAUCUGGAGGAACAUCAGUGGCGAAGGCGACUAUCUGGCACAUAACUGACGCUGAGGAGCGAAAGCGUGGGUAGCAAACAGGAUUAGAUACCCCAGUAGUC
rnacentral:rRNA from 1 species